CGAAAGCCUGACGGAGCAACGCCGCGUGUGGGAAGAAGGCCUUUGGGCUGUCAACCACUUUUCUCAGGGAAGAAGUUCUGACGGUACCUGAGGAAUCAGCCUCGGCUAACUCCGUGCCAGCAGCCGCGGUAAUACGGAGGAGGCAAGCGUUAUUCGGAAUUAUUGGGCGUAAAGCGUCCGCAGGGGGCUCAUCAAGUCUGCUGUCAAAGGUCGGAGCUCAACUCCGGUUCGGCAGUGGAAACUGGUGGGCUAGAGGGCGACAGGGGUAGAGGGAAUUCCCAGUGUAGCGGUGAAAUGCGUAGAGAUUGGGAAGAACACCGGUGGCGAAAGCGCUCUACUGGGUCGCACCUGACCCUCAGGGACGAAAGCUAAGGUAGCG
rnacentral:rRNA from 1 species